CGCUCCUAUGGGCCUGGCCCAAAGUCUUCGCAGCUCUUGUGGUUCCCAGACCGCGUGGCGACCUCCACCCCUGCUCGCCUGAAACAACCGAGAGCGAGGAGCUGUGCGUCCAAGCUAGGGUUCCACCCUGCCGUCCUCCGUCCCCGGCCUGCCGCCCCCAAAUCUGCGAGCAACGAUGGCAACGGCGCGCGCUUGCCCCGCCCUACACCACCCUCACCGCCAAGACCCCGCCACGACUAGCCAGCAGCUCGAGAUCGAGGUCAGCACGGAGAACCCACCACCGGCGCAUCACAGCCGACUACGGCGGCUGGGGCGACCCCAAGCAGGAGGCGGCGGCUAGCGAGGAUGGCGGCUAAGGGGAGAAGGGGCCGAUGUUUGCUGAUCUUGGAGGGAAGGAGGCGGUGCUUGGCGAGCUGAUGGCACACGGGACGAAACUUGCGGCACCGAUGCCCUUCAUCUACAGCUCGCAGCAGCUUGUGACCUUAACUCCAGGAAGGAGGAUGCUAUGUCUAAAAAUGGAUCAACCUACAAAUCUCAAGCAUCUGCCGUUAAAGCUCAUGGAGCCCCAAAUUGCAAGGGAAGUGGCUUUAGAUUGCGUAAUGGACAAUAUGCUACUUAAAUGGAAGCUUAAGAAAAUUCCAAUCUGAGUAUGACUGUAGUUGGAGGUGUCUUUGCUUAUCAGCUCGUUUUUCAUUCUUUGUCCUCUCCAUUUCUGCUCUUGCUCAUUUUCUACCACCUUCGGCUUAAAGUUUUCACACUUCACUUUGAAUAAUUUUUUCUCAUGCCAUUUUUUUUCAAUGGCGAUGGAUUUCCAGGUGAGCAUCAUUUAAUGUCUAGAUGUAUGUGAGAUAGCUGAGAAGUAUGGUGUUGCUUCAUAUUAUCCACGGAAUCCAGGGAACAUAUUCUGCACCCCCAAGGCACCUCCUCGUGUGGAUGCUAUCCAAACAAAGAAGGCUUGGAGGCAUAUAGAGUUCAGGCGUUUGCUGGCCUAGGGUGCCGUUUACUAGGUGUUGAAUGAUACCUAAAGCUGAAGACUGCAGAGGUAGCUCAAUGAGAAAAAAUGUUAUAAAAUCAGCUUGGUAUCGGAAAAAUCUUGUAAAUGUCAAUUACUUGUUUUUCUGAGUUUCCAUAACCCCUGUUUUCAAAUCUGUUGCAUAUUUUGCUGCUAGAUGUUUGUGAGGCAGCAUCUCGGGACAUAUUUUUUUAAAGAGGGCUGAUGGUGUGUUCGUCUUACAAUUUUAUCAGUCGUAUGGUUCAUCUUUACAGAGGUAUACUUCUCAUGGUAUAUGUUAGUGAUGACGUGCUAAGGAUUCGUCGAAUUGUGACAAGUUGAUAGUGUAAAUUUUCGAGGAAUGUUGGUUGAGAAUAAAUUUUGUCUCAUAUUUUCAUUCCUACUUUUAUGGAUUUUUGGCAUUCCAAUCCUUGAAAUGUAUAUGUCACGACACAUCACGUAUGCUAUCAAAAGUAUU